rnacentral:rRNA from 1 species
CGCCUGUUUAUCAAAAACAUAGCCUUUAGUUUUUCCAGUAUUAAAGGUAACGCCUGCCCAGUGAAACUUUUWAACGGCCGCGGUAUCCUAACCGUGCAAAGGUAGCGUAAUCACUUGUCUUCUAAAUAAAGACCCGUAUGAACGGCUAAAUGAGGAUUUAACUGUCUCCUUUAACCAAUCAGUGAAACUGAUUUUCUAGUACAAAAGCUAGAAUAAUAUUAUAAGACGAGAAGACCCUGUGGAGCUUUAAAUCUUAACCAAAAUAUGUAUACCCCUUGUAUUUAUGAAACAAUAUUUUAAGUUGGGGCGACUUCGGAGAAAAACACAACCUCCGAGCACAAGAGGUUCAUUCCUAAAUCUAGGCCCACUAGCCUAGACUAACAUUGACCCAGCACUGCUGAUCAACGAACCAAGUUACCCCAGGGAUAACAGCGCCAUCUUCUUCAAGAGUUCAUAUCGACAAGAAGGUUUACGACCUCGAUGUUGGAUCAGGACACCCCAAUGGUGUAGCCGCUAUNAAAGGUUCGUUUGUUCAACGAUUAACAGUCCUACGUGAUCUGAGUUCAGA